GAUGAACGCUGGCGGCGUGCCUAAUACAUGCAAGUCGAGCGAACAGAUGAGGAGCUUGCUCCUCUGACGUUAGCGGCGGACGAGUGAGUAACACGUGGAUAACCUACCUAUAAGACUGGGAUAACUUCGGGAAACCGGAGCUAAUACCGGAUAAUAUAUUGAACCGCAUGGUUCAAUAGUGAAAGACGGUUUUGCUGUCACUUAUAGAUGGAUCCGCGCCGCAUUAGCUAGUUGGUAAGGUAACGGCUUACCAAGGCAACGAUGCGUAGCCGACCUGAGAGGGUGAUCGGCCACACUGGAACUGAGACACGGUCCAGACUCCUACGGGAGGCAGCAGUAGGGAAUCUUCCGCAAAGGGCGAAAGCCUGACGGAGCAACGCCGCGUGAGUGAUGAAGGUCUUCGGAUCGUAAAACUCUGUUAUUAGGGAAGAACAAAUGUGUAAGUAACUAUGCACGUCUUGACGGUACCUAAUCAGAAAGCCACGGCUAACUACGUG
rnacentral:rRNA from 1 species